rnacentral:tRNA from 1 species
GGGGAUUUAGUUCAGUGGUAGAGCGCUUGCCUAGCAAGCACAAGGCCCUGGGUUCGAUCCCCAGCUCUG